CCUACGGGAGGCAGCAGUGGGGAAUUUUGGACAAUGGGCGCAAGCCUGAUCCAGCCAUGCCGCGUGUGGGAAGAAGGCCUUCGGGUUGUAAACCACUUUUGUCAGGGAAGAAACGGCUUUUUCUAAUACAGAGAGCUAAUGACGGUACCUGAAGAAUAAGCACCGGCUAACUACGUGCCAGCAGCCGCGGUAAUACGUAGGGUGCAAGCGUUAAUCGGAAUUACUGGGCGUAAAGCGUGCGCAGGCGGCUUUGCAAGACAGAUGUGAAAUCCCCGGGCUCAACCUGGGAACUGCAUUUGUGACUGCAUGGCUAGAGUACGGUAGAGGGGGUAUGGAAUUCCGCGUGUAGCAGUGAAAUGCGUAGAUAUGCGGAGGAACACCGAUGGCGAAGGCAAUCCCCUGGACCUGUACUGACGCUCAUGCACGAAAGCGUGGGGAGCAAACAGGAUUAGAUACCCUGGUAGUCCACGCCCUAAACGAUGUCAACUGGUGUUGGACGGCUUGCUGUUCAGUACGAGNUAACGCGUGAAGUUGACCGCUGGGGAUCGGCCGNGAGUGAACUNAAUGAGUUGACGNGNGAGAGNGCGAGACGACGACGAGGGAGAGG
rnacentral:rRNA from 1 species